CUAAGUUUAUUUAACAAAGCCUAAGAAUGAGAAACAACCUAUACUCUCGAGAUGUCAUGCCAUAGAAUCAGAACAAUUUUUUUAGUGGAUGUCAAAUCUAAGGGUAUUUUCCAACAAGAGAAAAGAAUAUCAUGUAAUAUGACUCAACAACACAUGUAUGACUCGAUCAAACACAAAACAUUUAAGAAAAACAACUUAAACUAAAAAAAACUAAGAAACUAAC
rnacentral:lncRNA from 1 species